AGAACUGCCGAGAAUCUUUUUGCAAAAACAACUCCUUAGAUGGUAUUUCAGCUCCAACAUAAUCCCCCCUAUUCCGCUUUUAAUUGGAAUCCUAAUUAACCUUAGCAGUUGUUUUUGUUAUUUGCUAUACUAAGUUUACAUGGUUACCUGUGAACAUAACUCUGUAUAUAACCUUAGAAAUAUAUAAGAAAGUCAAUUAAAAAUGGAAUAAUGAAUAGUGGGGGUAAACAUUGUUUUCUUGAGUAACUGUAACUAAUAUAACAAUUUCAAUACAUUGAUUAACUCAAUUGGACAUUGCUUCCAUGAUUGUUCUUCCAUUUGUAUAAGGUCAAAAACCCUGUUGGCCUUUUUGUUGAAUUGUGUUAUUUCCAGGGAAAAAUUACCUUAUGGUCCCCGCUCGCCAUGGGCGACCGCCAAUAUUCCCUAAUACGGCACAAAUGUAACACAAUCAUGGAUCCACAGUGACCAAAUCAGACAUUCAUGGUGAUGGCUAAUACUUCAACAUCGAUACAUUCUCUUGAUGACAAUUAUGAAGAAGUGUCCAAAGUGCACAUAUAAUCAGAGUGAUUAUGUGAUUGAAAUACUAAUCAUAUGGUCGCUUGAUGUUUGUGCUCAUUCACGCACUCUCACACUCACUCAUACUGUUUUACAAUUCAUGUUCAUUCACACGUGUUCCUAGUGUGUUUAUCUAUGUGUGGGCCACCCGUGUUGUAUUGUAUAUAAAUUGUAUAUAAGUCGUGUACCAAAUAUGUGUAACGGUGCAUGCUAACAGUAUCUUCCCCAUGAGUCUGUUUUAUUCCAACCCAGUUCUGUUUCAUUUCCUUCGAACUCUUAGAUCUUGAUAUCCCAUCGAGCUUUUAGUUCAGCAUCUACUGUCCUUGAGCUCAGCAGUCCUUUGAAUUGGUCAUGGUUUCACUGGUCCGGGCGGCCUUGUGCUUAGUCCUUCUGAUGUUCACCGUCUUUGGUCAUCCAUMUGUAUACAGUCCCCAAGAUCCACUUCCUCAUAAUAGGGA